rnacentral:rRNA from 1 species
GUAAGGAAUAUUGGUCAAUGGACGCAAGUCUGAACCAGCCAUGCCGCGUGAAGGAUGACGGCCCUACGGGUUGUAAACUUCUUUUGUACGGGAAAAAACUCCUCGAUGCGUUGGGGACUGAUGGUACCGUAAGAAUAAGCAUCGGCUAACUCCGUGCCAGCAGCCGCGGUAAUACGGAGGAUGCAAGCGUUAUCCGGAUUUAUUGGGUUUAAAGGGUGCGUAGGUGGAUUGGUAAGUCAGUGGUGAAAUACUACGGCUCAACUGUGGAACUGCCAUUGAUACUGCCAGUCUUGAGUACAUUUGGAGUGAGCGGAAUAUGUCAUGUAGCGGUGAAAUGCUUAGAGAUGACAUAGAACACCGAUCGCGAAGGCAGCUCACUAAACUGUAACUGACACUGAGGCACGAAAGCGUGGGGAUCAAACAGGAUUAGAUACCCGAGUAGUCC